rnacentral:rRNA from 1 species
ACCGGCGCUAAUACCGCAUAAUCCCGAGAGGGCAAAGGAGCAAUUCGCUUCAGGAGGAGUCCGCGGCCGAUUAGCUAGUUGGUAGGGUAAAAGCCUACCAAGGCAAUGAUCGGUAGCCGGCCUGAGAGGGCACACGGCCACACUGGCACUGAAACACGGGCCAGACUCCUACGGGAGGCAGCAGUGGGGAAUCUUGCACAAUGGGGGCAACCCUGAUGCAGCGACGCCGCGUGAGCGAUGAAGCCCUUCGGGGUGUAAAGCUCUUUCGGCAGGGAAGAUUAUGACGGUACCUGCAGAAGCAGCUGCGGCUAACUACGUGCCAGCAGCCGCGGUAAUACGUAGGCAGCAAGCGUUGUUCGGAGUUACUGGGCGUAAAGGGUGUGUAGGCGGCCUUCUAAGUUUGGUGUGAAAUCUCCCGGCUCAACCGGGAGGGUGCGCCGAAGACUGGGG